UCUCUCUUUCUCUCUCUCUGUCUGUGUGUCGGCACGAACACCGAUUCCGCUCCUCACCACUCCUCUCUCCCUCUCUCUCUCUCGCUCCCUCGCUCGGUCGGUCUUCUCUUCUUAACCCCGUGCCACGGAACGUGAGAACGAGAGAGAGAGAGAGGGAGAGAGCACGGAACGAUUCCGUAGUGGUCGCGAGAAAACUAUCUCCGCACCCGGAACUCUCAACGACGGCUUCGCCUUCGUUUUCGUCUUUCGGAUAAAGAUAGAGAUAAAAGAGACACUCACACGUAUAUCCCUGAAUACGUGUCGUUUCCAAAAAUUUCCCUUCCGUUAUUUCUUUCGGCCAGAUCUGCGUCAAAAAGAAGAGAUUUUUUUCUCUCGAUAUAACAAUUGAGAAAAAAACACACGCGUCUUUGAUUUUCUUCUCUCGACGUCGUCGUCGUCCUCGUCGUCGUCGUUGUCGUCGUCGUGUCGCCGUGUCGCCGUCGUUGUCGUCGUCGUCGCGACGUAUUGUCCGCGACGUGCCCCUCUCUCUCUCUCUCUCUCUCUCUCUCUCUCUCUCUCUCUCUCUCUCGCGCACGAUCUGUCGUCUCUUCGUACGUCUCCGUGGGUCUUCGGUCGAGCCUUUUAGCGAUACACAAACGUCUUCGUUUGUUUCUUCUAUUUCUUUGGAGAUUGAAAACUUUGCCUUUCCUUCUUUUUCCUUUUCCUAUCUUCUAUAAUCUAAUACACGACACCUCUUUUCUUACCGCGCGGACCCGCUUUUCUUCUCUUCUCCUCCGCCACUCUAGGGCCUCGCGCUCUCUCUCUCUCUCUCUCCCUCUCUCUCUCUCUCUGUUUCUCUCUCCGGCGCCUCCGUCGUCGUCGUCGCCGUCGUCGUCGUCGUCGUCGUCGUCGUCGUCGUCGUUCGACUCUCCUUCUCCAAUUUUCUCGCACACGUUUCGACAGUGGUUGACAGCCGCGCGUAAACCACCCUCUCGCACGUUCCCUUAUCCUCCUUUCCUUUCAACCGUCACAUAUUAACGCACCGAUAUGACUCAUUUCAAGAUUUUCUCGCAGUCGGCUAGGACGUAUGGGAGAUGGGGAAAGAAAGAAAGACAGACGGACAGACAGACAGACGGACGAACAGACAGACAGACAGACAGACAGACAGACAGAGAGAGAAAGAGAGAGAGAGAAGAGAGGGAGAGGGGGAGAGAGAGAGAAAGAGAGAGAGAGAGAGAGAGAGAGAGAGAGAGAGAGAGAGAGAGAGAGAGAGAGCAGCGCCCGUCGUUUCGUCUCAACAAACUACACGACUACACUUUCGAACGGCCACCUGGUAGGCGGGGCUUACGGGAGAGCCGUCGGCCAAUCGCAAUGAUUAGGUAAGCACCGAUAGCCCGACGACCUUGCUGUCCUCGCGCGGUCGUGGCUAACGUUCGACUGAGAGCGCUCGGUCGAUUUCUUUCUCGACUCGGCGUAUACAUCUAGCGUCAUCUUUCGCGAGCACCUUUCCAUUCGACCAAUCCACAAGUUCUUUGAUAAAAGCUCACAUAGAGCGAGCUUCGUCGACCAAUUGGUUUCAAGCCUUUAGGGAAUAUACGUAGGAAUUUUAUCGUCUCAACAUUUCCAGUACCGGAGUUAACCUCCGAUUCGAGUUUUACUCGUUUCUACUCGUCGCUUAGCUUUUCUUCAUUCGUCACAAGAAACAUUUUUCUUCUUUUUCUUCUUUCUAUCGAAUCGUUCGUUGAAUCAAUUUCGAUUAUUCCAUUUACUAAAUUCUACGGUUAUUUUCCUUUGUAACAUGCUUCUUAUACAUGUAUUCGAUCGAUUUUGAAAACGUUAAACUAUCCAUUCCUUAGGAUACAGACUAAAAUAUGGCCGACGGAUAAAAGAGCAAAUAGAAUCGAUCCCAACGAGCGUCCCAUGACGGUACUUGGGAUAUGAGGAUACUUCCAAGUAGAUGCUACUCGUCAUCAGACUCGUUAACAUUUUAUCGUUCAAUUCGUCAUAAUUACCGUCGAUACGCCAAAUAGAUACGAGCUAUAUGGAAAUGUAAAGAGGAUAAGCGUUCAAUAAAGAGGAUUCCACCGUUACAAGUUGUCUUCAUCUUAUAUAGAGUUCGUCCAAAGCUUUUAUUUCUUUCUGCCGUAUGCUUUUGCUCUAACGGAUAAUCCAAAGCGUUGUGGAUGGUAAACGACUAUAAGAAUAUGAGAGAUAUUAUAAGUAAUGACGUAAUAAGAGGAGAAAGAGGUAUAAAGAGAAAGCAAAAAAAAAGCAUUCAGGCUGGUAAGUUUUAAUGAUUUAUUAGAAUCUCUGGAUUACCUUCCUUCGAGGCAGCCCAUUUCCGAUAAGAAAACCAUUCUGUUUCUUUUUGCCUUAUUAUUUAUCGCCUUAUGACGCAAAUCAUUUUUGUUCCGCUAUCCAUUUAAGAGCACCCUUUGGAUAUGGUACAUUUUACACAAAUGAGGAACGAGAAAACUGUGCGAACGGACAACAGGAGAGAAAUUUCAAAUAAAGUUCGUUGUCUGUGUGUGUGCAUAUAUAUACAUAUGUCUGAUAUAUUCGUGCCGCUAUUCAUAUAGUCUCUCUCUCUCUCUCUCUCUCUCUCUCUCUCUCUCUCUCUCUCUCUCUCUCUCUCUCUCCCUCCCUCCCUCUCUCUCUCUCUCUCUGUCCGUCUAUACAAGUCGAGCACACGAAUACAUAUAUCCAUAUAUCUAUAUAUACACAUACAUUGACAUGCAUAUAUGUAUAUAUACACACACGAUGUAAACGUACGUACUUAUCGCUUAUACGCUUCUUUCUGAUAUUAUUUUUCUUAUUCGCGAAAGCGCGUUUAUUAUUUUCUUUGUUAUUACAGAAAUUCGCAUCGGGCAGGGUAAAUGUAGGUGUAUGCCGUUACGAGAAAGCCGUUUCUCGCGAUCGAGCUAAUAGAACGAAAGAAUAUAAUCGAGGGAGGUACGUAUGUACGAAGAAACUACAGAUUUUCUCAUCUCCUUUGAGAUUCCAUUGUCGUAAUUAUCCUCGCGGAUCGUCGUCGUCGUCGUCGUCGUCGCCGUCGUCGACGACAUACACCUUCUUCUACCAUGCUCUCGCGAGGAUCGAUGGCACCUCUGGUGGUAUAUCCUUAAAAAAGUCUCUAAUAGAAGCACAACGAGCAUUCGUCCUA